rfam:TPA: Bos taurus chromosome 17, whole genome shotgun sequence.
CCUGGUGGCUCAGAUGGUAAAGCAUCUGCCUGCAAUGCGGGAGACCUGGGUUCAAUCCCUGGGUCAGGA